rnacentral:rRNA from 1 species
AACGAGCGCUGGCGGCAUGCCUAACACAUGCAAGUCGAACGAGAUCUUCGGGUCUAGUGGCGUACGGGUGCGUAACGCGUGGGAAUCUGCCCUUUGGUUCGGAAUAACAGUUGGAAACGACUGCUAAUACCGGAUGAUGACGAAAGUCCAAAGAUUUAUCGCCAGAGGAUGAGCCCGCGUAGGAUUAGCUAGUUGGUGUGGUAAAGGCGCACCAAGGCGACGAUCCUUAGCUGGUCUGAGAGGAUGAUCAGCCACACUGGGACUGAGACACGGCCCAGACUCCUACGGGAGGCAGCAGUGGGGAAUAUUGGACAAUGGGCGAAAGUCUGAUCCAGAAAUGCCGCGUAAGUGAUGAAGGCCUCAGGGUUGUAAAGCUCUUUUACCCGGGAUGAUAAUGACAGUACCGGGAGAAUAAGCUCCGGCUAACUCCGUGCCAGCCGCCGCCGUAA